rnacentral:rRNA from 1 species
GUGGGGAAUAUUGGACAAUGGGCGGAAGCCUGAUCCAGCAACGCCGCGUGAGGGAUGACGGCCUUCGGGUUGUAAACCUCUUUCAGUACCGACGAAGCGCAAGUGACGGUAGGUACAGAAGAAGCACCGGCCAACUACGUGCCAGCAGCCGCGGUAAUACGUAGGGUGCGAGCGUUGUCCGGAAUUAUUGGGCGUAAAGGGCUCGUAGGCGGUUUGUCGCGUCGGGAGUGAAAACGCCGUGCUUAACACGGCGCUUGCUUCCGAUACGGGCAGACUAGAGGUAUUCAGGGGAGAACGGAAUUCCUGGUGUAGCGGUGAAAUGCGCAGAUAUCAGGAGGAACACCGGUGGCGAAGGCGGUUCUCUGGGAAUGACCUGACGCUGAGGAGCGAAAGUGUGGGGAGCGAACAGGAUUAGAAACCCUAGUAGUCC